UACGGGGGGGGCAAGCGUUGUUCGGAAUUACUGGGCGGAAAGGGCUCGUAGGUGGCCAACUAAGUCAGACGUGAAAUCCCUCGGCUUAACCGGGGAACUGCGUCUGAUACUGGAUGGCUUGAGUUUGGGAGAGGGAUGCGGAAUUCCAGGUGUAGCGGUGAAAUGCGUAGAUAUCUGGAGGAACACCGGUGGCGAAGGCGGAUCUCUGGGCCAUUACUGACGCUGAGGAGCGAAAGCGUGGGGAGCGAACAGG
rnacentral:rRNA from 1 species